rnacentral:lncRNA from 1 species
GAAAAAAAUACAUUUAAUCCUUUUUUAAUUCAAGCUUGAAUUCUCACAGUGAUUAAUGAAGCAGGGAUCUCAAUCUAUUCCCACAGUGACCGGGAAGGACUUGUUCUUUUAUGUUUUUCUGUACUGAUUGAUUAUAAGAGUCAACGCUUUGGUUGUGUAAACAUUUGGGGCUACUUUUGUUUUUUGGAAGGUUCACGCUGCGAGAGAAUGAUGUAGCUAAGUGAUGACGUAGUGUAAAAAAAUAAUGACAUAGCUAAGUGAUGACGUAGUGUAAAAAAAUAACGACGUAGCUAAGUGAUGGCGUAGUGGAAAAAAAGAAUGACGUAGCUAAGUGAUGACGUAGUGGAAAAAAAGAAUGACGUAGCUAAGUGAUGACGUAGUGGAAAAAAAGAAUGACGUAGCUAAGUGAUGACGUAGUUGGAAAAAAAGAAUGACGUAGCUAAGUGAUGACGUAGUGUAAAAAAAGAAUGACGUAGCUAAGUGAUGACGUAGUGUAAAAAAAGAAUGACGUAGCUAAGUGAUGACGUAGUGUAAAAAAAGAAUGACGUAGCUAAGUGAUGACGUAGUGUAAAAAAAGGAGAAAAAUGUUGAAUUUACAUUUAUUGUAUUUAAAACAAAAUCUGAUUCUUUGUACAUUUUGUUUAUUAAGAAGUUGUUAAGCUGAAAAGCAAGGUAAAAUUUAGUUUUAUCGCAGUCACGCACAUUAUGGUUUUAUGUUCGACAGGUUUGAACUAGUUUCAUUUAAAUUUGUUUUAUGUUAUCUGUGCUUUCAUUGCACUUUUGAUCAAUGAUGUUCCUCAUGGUUGGUUUAAUGGAUCAUUUAUAGAAUGGUGUGGGCUGAUAGAUUUAGGCCUAGCCGUAAAAGAUAGCUUUAAGUUUAUUCUAGGGUUUAACCUAUUCAGUGUUGUUGAAUGUUUAAAACCAGACAUGACUUGUUUUAAUAAUUUUUCAGCGCUAUUAGAUAUGCUUGGGAGGGUGCACUCUCUCAGCGUCCAGGCACAUGUUGGGCCCAACAGUAUCAGUCAUUUGAAAGUUGAAACCGUCUAGGAUGGGCGCUCUAUGACAUUGCAAUAUCAGAUUUGCUACUUAUACUGAAAAUAAAUCUGUCUCAUCUCUCUGGGUCAGUUAGCAAGAACCAAUUAAAGUUCAUAUUUUGGUUUGGCUAUUGUGCUUCUAUGUUGGAAAUGCAUUAUUUCUCAUAUCAACUAAUGGCAGUGUUUUCAGAAAGUAUUCAUACCCCUUGACUUAUUCCACGUUUUGUUGCGUUAAAGCCUGAAUUCAAAAUGGCUUAAAUAUUGAUUGUUUUUUCACCCAUCUACACACAAUACCCCAUAAUGACAAAGUGAUAACAUGUUUUUUGAUUUUUAGGCAAAUUUUGUGAAAAUCAAAUACAUAAAUAUCUCAUUUACAUAAGUAUUCACACCCCUGAGUUAUUAUAAUCACCUUUGGCAGUGAUUACAACUGUGAGUAUUUCUGGGUAAGUCUCUAAGAGCUUUGCACAGCUGGAUUGUACAAUAUUUGCACAUUUAUUAUUUUCAUAAUUAUUCAAGCUC